rnacentral:lncRNA from 1 species
ACCUUGAACAUGCACCUUCAGUGAGAAACAGACACACAAGCAGACUUGGAACAGAAGAUUGUCUUUAUAUCACAGUUAUAAUUUUGGCGAGCUUACUUUAAAAGUAUACUUGUUUAAAGAACGUACCAGUCUGGCAUAUGGCAUCUUGCAUUAGCACAAGAGGGCGGUGAAGGUAGCAUGCGAGUGUUGCAAAACCUUAAUGCAGGUAACCAACUUAAGCAGUUUACGGGUCGGUAAAAAACCUUGACUACGGAGAGCUGAGAUAACCAACAAUGCAAGUAACUGGUCUCUCAAGCUUUGCCAACUCUUGGUUUCAACACCCCUGCCACAUUCUGUAAUGUUGGGAACUGACGUGCGACAGGGAGGAUCAAGGCCACAGCGACGAACUGUGCAAGGUGUUCCUAAGCAAAUUGUUACAGCUGUUACUGGCGAACUGCGCUGGUGACCUGAAUGCAACUGUGGAGCAGUUAAAACUCGCCUACAAGCCUCUAUCACGGAAGGUAGUAUCAUUUUAAAUAUGUUGAAUGAGGUGCUUUUCCAUGGCUGCACUUCAUGUAAAUAAAGAAAAUAACACUUGA